rnacentral:rRNA from 1 species
CGGCUUUCCUAUUUUGUUGGUUUCUAGGGGAGCCGUAAUGAUUAAUAGGGUCAGUCGGGGGCAUCAGUAUUCAAUUGUCAGAGGUGAAAUUCUUGGAUUUAUUGAAGACUAACUACUGCGAAAGUAUUUGCCAAGGAUGUUUUCAUUAAUCAGUGAACGAAAGUUAGGGGAUCGAAGACGAUCAGAUACCGUCGUAGUCUUAACCAUAAACUAUGCCGACUAGGGAUCGGGCGAUGUUACUAUCUUGACUCGCCCCGGCACCUUACGAGAAAUCAAAGUUUUUGGGUUCUGGGGGGAGUAUGGUCGCAAGGCUGAAACUUUUUUUUUAUUGACGGAAGGGCACCACAAGGCGUGGAACCUGCGGCUUAAUUUGACUCAACACGGGGAAACUCACCAGGUCCAGAUACAAGUAGGAUUGACAAAAAAAAAAAAUCUUUCUUGAUUUUGUAGUUGGUGGUGCAUGGCCGUUCUUAGUUGGUGGAGUGAUUUGUCUGCUUAAUUGCGAUAACGAACGAGACCUUAACCUGCUAAAUAGCCCGGCUCGCUUUGGCGGGUCGCCGGCUUCUUAGAGGGACUAUCGGCUCAAGCCGAUGGAAGUUUGAGGCAAUAACAGGUCUGUGAUGCCCUUAGAUGUUCUGGGCUGCACGCGCGUUACACUGACAGAGCCAUCGAGUUUUUUUCCUUGGGCCGGRASGUCUGGGUAAUCUUGUUAAACUCUGUCGUGC